AGAGUUUGAUCCUGGCUCAGAACGUACGCUGGCGGCACGCCUAACACAUGCAAGUCGAACGAAGUAGCAAUACUUAGUGGCAGACGGGUGAGUAACAUGUGGGUAUCUACCCUUUGGCCUGGAAUAACACGAGGAAACUUGUGCUAAUACCGGAUAAGUCUUUACGGAGAAAGCUUUAUGCACCAUUGGAUGAGCCCGCACUUGAUUAGUUUGUUGGUAGGGUAAUGGCCUACCAAGACUAUGAUCAAUAGCUGAUUUGAGAGGAUGAUCAGCCACAUUGGGACUGAGACACGGCCCAAACUCCUACGGGAGGCAGCAGUGGGGAAUCUUGCACAAUGGAGGAAACUCUGAUGCAGCGAUGCCGCGUGAGUGAAGAAGGCCUUUGGGUUGUAAAGCUCUUUCGUCGGGGAAGAAAAUGACUGUACCCGAAUAAGAAGGUCCGGCUAACUUCGUGCCAGCAGCCGCGGUAAUACGAAGGGACCUAGCGUAGUUCGGAAUUACUGGGCUUAAAGAGUUCGUAGGUGGUUGAAAAAGUUGGUGGUGAAAUCCCAGAGCUUAACUCUGGAACUGCCAUCAAAACUUUUCAGCUAGAGUAUGAUAGAGGAAAGCAGAAUUUCUAGUGUAGAGGUGAAAUUCGUAGAUAUUAGAAAGAAUACCAACUGCGAAGGCAGCUUUCUGGAUCAUUACUGACACUGAGGAACGAAAGCAUGGGUAGCGAAGAGGAUUAGAUACCCUCGUAGUCCAUGCCGUAAACGAUGUGUGUUAGACGUUGGAAAUUUAUUUUCAGUGUCGCAGGGAAACCGAUAAACACACCGCCUGGGGAGUACGA
rnacentral:rRNA from 1 species